rnacentral:rRNA from 1 species
AGCGAACGCUGGCGGCAGGCCUAACACAUGCAAGUCGAACGAACUCUUCGGAGUUAGUGGCGGACGGGUGAGUAACACGUGGGAACGUGCCUUUUGGUUCGGAAUAACUCAGGGAAACUUGUGCUAAUACCGAAUGUGCCCUUCGGGGGAAAGAUUUAUCGCCAUUAGAGCGGCCCGCGUCUGAUUAGCUAGUUGGUGAGGUAACGGCUCACCAAGGCGACGAUCAGUAGCUGGUCUGAGAGGAUGACCAGCCACACUGGGACUGAGACACGGCCCAGACUCCUACGGGAGGCAGCAGUGGGGAAUCUUGCGAAAUGGGCGAAAGCAUGACGCAGCCAUGCCGGGUGAAUGAUGAAGGUCUUAGGAUUGUAAAAUUCUUUCACCGGGGACGAUAAUGACGGUACCCGGAGAAGAAGCCCCGGCUAACUUCGUG